UUAAGUUCGGCGGGUAUCCCUACCUGAUCCGAGGUCCAUCAAGAAGAAAAAAUGUGGAUUUCUCUCACAAUAGGCUUAAAGGGUCGGCCAGCUUUCAAGCGGGUGACAAUGCCCCAUACGCAUUUAAAAGACUGGACUGCGACCCUGCCACUGCCUUUGGGGCUACUGUCCAAUAAGACAGUGAGUCCAUCACACAAGCC
rnacentral:misc_RNA from 1 species